AGUUCUGUAUAAUAAUACAAAAGGACAAAGCCUUGAGAUUUGUUUGGCCAUGGUGGCUUGUGGUAUCUCGGCACUACAUGAAUAUUAUUAUGCUUAACUCAAGUUUAGGGGCUCCGGGCCAGUGAUGGCAUCAUCAGUAAUAAAUUCCACUUAAUAUAGUUUUUGUCAUGCCUAAAUGGUGUCUGCUAUGCAAAUUUUGUUUGCUUUUUUGCUCUCAAUGUUUAGUUUCGGUUUUAAUAAUUCUUUAAGAGCUUGUACCAUGUAAUGUUGCACUUGUCCAUUAACAUCUCCUAGCUUAUUAAUGCAUAUACACGAUAAUUGUUUUAGAGAGAUUAUUCUACUACCUAUAUAUUUUCUAAUUAUUUUGUUUUCAAUUAAUAUCUUUGAUCUUUUAUUUUUU
rnacentral:misc_RNA from 1 species